UACGAAGGGUGCAAACGUUGCUCGGAAUCAUUGGGCGUAAAGCGCACGUAGGCGGCUUUGCAAGUCUGACGUGAAAUCCCUCAGCUCAACUGAGGAAGUGCAUCGGAAACUGCAAGGCUUGAGUACUGAAGAGGAUCGCGGAAUUCCCGGUGUAGAGGUGAAAUUCGUAGAUAUCGGGAGGAACACCAGUGGCGAAGGCGGCGAUCUGGGCAGAUACUGACGCUGAGGUGCGAAAGCGUGGGGAGCGAACAGG
rnacentral:rRNA from 1 species